AUGGUGAGAGCCCAUCAAGAUACAAAAAAGUGUGAUUUGUACAUUGUGGCAAAUCAUCAUUUUCGAGGUGAUGGUUACGAUUAGAGUGACGAGGAUGGUGAUGAUGGGUCGAAUGAUGAAGCCCCUUUUGGUGCCUGCCUCGAUGUUGGUCAGAGUGGAAAGGACGAAGAUAGAUCAUCGCCAUGAACGAAUAUUAUGUGUGCUUUUCAUUUAAAAUGAUGAAGCUCCUUUUGGGUCGAAUUAUAGUGUGCUUACCA